rnacentral:rRNA from 1 species
GACGAACGCUGGCGGCGUGCUUAACACAUGCAAGUCGAACGGAAAGGCCCUGCUUUUGUGGGGUGCUCGAGUGGCGAACGGGUGAGUAACACGUGAGUAACCUGCCCUUGACUUUGGGAUAACUUCAGGAAACUGGGGCUAAUACCGGAUAGGAGCUCCUGCUGCAUGGUGGGGGUUGGAAAGUUUCGGCGGUUGGGGAUGGACUCGCGGCUUAUCAGCUUGUUGGUGGGGUAGUGGCUUACCAAGGCUUUGACGGGUAGCCGGCCUGAGAGGGUGACCGGCCACAGUGGGGAGGAGAUACGGACCGGACUGCUACGGGAGGCAGCAGUGGGGAAUAUGGCACAAGGGGGGGAAGUCUGAUGCCGCAACGCCGCGUGAGGGAUGAGGGCCUGCGGGUUGUAAAUCAGUUUCGCCUGAUACAAAUCGGGAGUGACGCUAAUGGGUAAGGAAGGACCGGCUAACUA